rnacentral:rRNA from 1 species
CCGGCGAGUUACGAUUUGAUGCAAGGUUAAGCAGUAAAUGUGGAGCCGUAGCGAAAGCGAGUCUGAAUAGGGCGUUUAGUAUUUGGUCGUAGACCCGAAACCAGGUGAUCUACCCUUGGUCAGGUUGAAGUUCAGGUAACACUGAAUGGAGGACCGAACCGACUUACGUUGAAAAGUGAGCGGAUGAACUGAGGGUAGCGGAGAAAUUCCAAUCGAACCUGGAGAUAGCUGGUUCUCUCCGAAAUAGCUUUAGGGCUAGCCUCAAGUGAUGAUUAUUGGAGGUAGAGCACUGUUUGGACGAGGGGCCCCUCUCGGGUUACCGAAUUCAGACAAACUCCGAAUGCCAAUUAAUUUAACUUGGGAGUCAGAACAUGGGUGAUAAGGUCCGUGUUCGAAAGGGAAACAGCCCAGACCACCAGCUAAGGUCCCAAAAUAUAUGUUAAGUGGAAAAGGAUGUGGCGUUGCCCAGACAACUAGGAUGUUGGCUUAGAAGCAGCCAUCAUUUAAAGAGUGCGUAAUAGCUCACUAGUCGAGUGACACUGCGCCGAAAAUGUACCGGGGCUAAACAUAUUACCGAAGCUGUGGAUUGUCCUUUGGACAAUGGUAGGAGAGCGUUCUAAGGGCGUUGAAGCAUGAUCGUAAGGACAUGUGGAGCGCUUAGAAGUGAGAAUGCCGGUGUGAGUAGCGAAAGACGGGUGAGAAUCCCGUCCACCGAUUGACUAAGGUUUCCAGAGGAAGGCUCGUCCGCUCUGGGUUAGUCGGGUCCUAAGCUGAGGCCGACAGGCGUAGGCGAUGGAUAACAGGUUGAUAUUCCUGUACCACCUAUAAUCGUUUUAAUCGAUGGGGGGACGCAGUAGGAUAGGCGAAGCGUGCGAUUGGAUUGCACGUCUAAGCAGUAAGGCUGAGUAUUAGGCAAAUCCGGUACUCGUUAAGGCUGAGCUGUGAUGGGGAGAAGACAUUGAGUCUUCGAGUCGUUGAUUUCACACUGCCGAGAAAAGCCUCUAGAUAGAAAAUAGGUGCCCGUACCGCAAACCGACACAGGUAGUCAAGAUGAGAAUUCUAAGGUGAGCGAGCGAACUCUCGUUAAGGAACUCGGCAAAAUGACCCCGUAACUUCGGGAGAAGGGGUGCUCUUUAGGGUUAACGCCCAGAAGAGCCGCAGUGAAUAGGCCCA